UUUGAAAUCUGGCUCCUUUGGGAGUCCGAGUUGUAAUUUGCAGAGGGUGCUUUGGCAUAGGCGGCGGUCUAAGUUCCUUGGAACAGGACAUCGCAGAGGGUGAGAAUCCCGUACGUGGGCGCCUGCCUUUGCCGUGUAAAGCCCCUUCGACGAGUCGAGUUGUUUGGGAAUGCAGCUCUAAAUGGGAGGUAAAUUUCUUCUAAAGCUAAAUACCGGCCAGAGACCGAUAGCGCACAAGUAGAGUGAUCGAAAGAUGAAAAGUACUUUGGAAAGAGAGUCAAAAAGCACGUGAAAUUGUUGAAAGGGAAGCGCUUGCAGCCAGACUUGCCCGCAGUUGCUCACCUAGGCUUCGGCCUGGGGCACUCUUCUGUGGGCAGGCCAGCAUCAGUUUGGGCGGUUGGAUAAAGGCCUCUGUCACGUAUCUCUCUUCGGGGAGACCUUAUAGGGGAGGCGUAAUGCAACCAGCCCGGACUGAGGUCCGCGCAUCUGCUAGGAUGCUGGCGUAAUGGCUGUAAGCGGCCCGUCUUGAAACACGGACCAAGGAGUCUAACAUCUAUGCGAGUGUUUGGGUGUCAAGCCCGGGCGCGUAAUGAAAGUGAACGGAGGUGGGAACCGCAAGGUGCACCAUCGACCGAUCCUGAUGUCUUCGGAUGGAUUUGAGUAAGAGCAUAGCUGUUGGGACCCGAAAGAUGGUGAACUAUGCUUGAAUAGGGUGAAGCCAGAGGAAACUCUGGUGGAGGCUCGCAGCGGUUCUGACGUGCAAAUCGAUCGUCAAAUUUGGGCAUAGGGGCGAAAGACUAAUCGAACCAUCUAGUAGCUGG
rnacentral:rRNA from 1 species